rfam:Homo sapiens chromosome 17, GRCh38 reference primary assembly.
GCCGGGCGUGGUGGUGUGCGCCUGUAAUCCCAGCUACUCAGGAGGCUGAGGCAGGAGAAUCGCUUGAACCCGGAAGGCGGAGGUUGCAGUGAGCCGAGAUUGCAGCACUGCACCCCAGCCUGGGUAACAGAGGGAGACUCUGUCUCAU